GAUGAAGAACGCAGCGAAAUGCGAUAAGUAAUGUGAAUUGCAGAAUUCAGUGAAUCAUCGAAUCUUUGAACGCACAUUGCGCCCCCCGGUAUUCCGGCGGGCAUGCCUGUUCGAGCGUCAUUACAACCCUCAGGCCCCCGGGCCUGGCGUUGGGGAUCGGCGGAAGCCCCCUGCGGGCACAACGCCGUCCCCCAAAUACAGUGGCGGUCCCGCCGCAGCUUCCAUUGCGUAGUAGCUAACACCUCGCAACUGGAGAGCGGCGCGGCCACGCCGUAAAACACCCAACUUCUGAAUGUUGACCUCGAAUCAGGUAGGAAUACCCGCUGAACUUAAGCAUAUCAAUAAGCGGAGGA
rnacentral:misc_RNA from 1 species